rnacentral:rRNA from 1 species
ACCGGAGUGGACGCAUCACUGGUGUUCGGGUUGUCAUGCCAAUGGCACUGCCCGGUAGCUAAAUGCGGAAAAGAUAAGUGCUGAAAGCAUCUAAGCACGAAACUUGCCCCGAGAUGAGUUCUCCCUGAGACUUUAAGUCUCCUGAAGGAACGUUGAAGACGACGACGUUGAUAGGUCGGGUGUGUAAGCGCAGCGAUGCGUUGAGCUAACCGAUACUAAUGAACCGUGAGGCUUAACCUU